GAGUUUGAUCCUGGCUCAGGAUGAACGCUAGCGAUAGGCUUAACACAUGCAAGUCGAGGGGCAGCAUGAUCUUACCUUGCUAAGGUUGAUGGCGACCGGCGCACGGGUGCGUAACGCGUAUGCAACUUGCCUUACAGAGGGGGAUAACCCGUUGAAAGACGGGCUAAAACCGCAUACACUUGUAUUAUUGCAUGAUAUUACAAGGAAAUAUUUAUAGCUGUAAGAUAGGCAUGCGUCCCAUUAGCUGGUUGGUGAGGUAACGGCUCACCAAGGCGACGAUGGGUAGGGGAACUGAGAGGUUUAUCCCCCACACUGGUACUGAGACACGGACCAGACUCCUACGGGAGGCAGCAGUGAGGAAUAUUGGUCAAUGGGCGAGAGCCUGAACCAGCCAAGUCGCGUGAAGGAAGACAGUCCUAAGGAUUGUAAACUUCUUUUAUACGGGAAUAACGGGCGAUACGAGUAUUGCAUUGAAUGUACCGUAAGAAUAAGCAUCGGCUAACUCCGUGCCAGCAGCCGCGGUAAUACGGAGGAUGCGAGCGUUAUCCGGAUUUAUUGGGUUUAAAGGGUGCGUAGGUUGUUCGGUAAGUCAGCGGUGAAACCUGAGCGCUCAACGUUCAGCCUGCCGUUGAAACUGCCGGGCUUGAGUUCAGUGGCGGCAGGCGGAAUUCGUGGUGUAGCGGUGAAAUGCAUAGAUAUCACGAGGAACUCCGAUUGCGAAGGCAGCUUGCCAUACUGCGACUGACACUGAAGCACGAAGGCGUGGGUAUCAAACAGGAUUAGAUACCCUGGUAGUCCACGCAGUAAACGAUGAUUACUAGGAGUUUGCGAUAUACCGUCAAGCUUCCACAGCGAAAGCGUUAAGUAAUCCACCUGGGG
rnacentral:rRNA from 1 species